rnacentral:lncRNA from 1 species
UUUUUUAAAAAAACAAACUCUUUUUCAAACUAUGUCAAGCACUCUCACAUACUUUUAGAAUCUAGGUUCUGCCGUUUUUGUGUGAGCCUUGCCUUGGGACCCUUGAGCUCCCUCUGAACUUGGACACAUAAGAGUUAGCCCUUCCACACUGCAGUCAUUCUAUUUGGUCAUGCAAAUCUGGGUGUGAGCACUGCCCGAGAUCCCUUGAGGUCCUUAGGGAACUCUGACACACCCAGAUAUGAGAAAGGCUUUGGAACAAUAGUGGCUUUUGAGGUGGUUCAUUACAUAACUCAAAGAGGAAGUCAAGAUCAGGCUUCCUAUGGUUGUAACUUCUUAUUUUUGCAUUUCUUUUGGUAAUUCAUCAUUUGGUCUGUAAUAUUUUAUAAACAAUUAUGGGGUUGGCUUGUGAAAAGGGAAUGGGUAAGUAUGCAUGCUUUAGCUAUCAAAAGGGUAGAAAGCAUGUUACUAGGUUUACGUUCCUACUUGCGCAAUAGAAACCAUGCCUAGGACUCAUUUCAUGCAUUAGAGAUCAUGCUCCUUAGGAUUUACACUUACUGUUUUUAGCAUGUCCAUUUCACUAUCAUAUCACUUAGAAAAUCCAGCGUUAAAAGUGUUAAUAAUCGGUAUUUUCUGCAAUCAUGUUCCUACUGCCAUGCACACUUGGAGAUCCUAUUUUAGGCUAAACAACACCAACAAGCAUAUCCUCUCUACAUAUUCUGGAAGUCAUGUUUUAAAUGCUGUAAUAUUUGUGCAUAUAGAAAUCCUACUUAGGAUUCUAGAUAUAUAUCAUUCUGCAUCUCUCUACAUUAGAUGCCAUGUCUUUAGGACUUCAUUUAUAUUCGCUUAAACACACUUAGGCUAACUAUGAAUGCAUAAAACAAUUUUAUUUAGUUUUUUUACAACCAACUGGCAAUAAUUCUAUGUGCUGAACACCUAAAACAACAUGUCUUAGGUAAUAAUAAUCUCCAAAUGUCUUAAUGAUUCUGAAUAACUACUGAAUACUGCUAACGCCUAGGCAAGCCUCAAGCCUCAGGUAAUUACUUAAAUAAAAUUGGAAAUGCCUCUGUUUAAUUCUAGACUGCUAUAACUAGCAGGCAGGCCUGAUUUGGACUUCCUUUCUGAGUUGUAUAAUGAAUUUGGUUCUAACUUAAACACCCUGCCUUAGGAUUCUAAACUCGGACCUUAAUUGUGUAUAAGUCGUGCUAUCAAUGUGCACUGCUUGCGAAGGUAUAACUGAGCCUUCUAUUUUAUUAUAUGUUUCCCAUAAUUGCAGUUUUAUAUGUUUUGUAUGUCGCCUUAGCAUUUUACUUUUAAACCUAAGGGUCAGCCUAGAACCUCCUUCUUAUAAGAAUAGGAGUCCUAUAAUUCCUCCGGGACUGAUAGGAAUGGUACGGGUAACAACAUGCAAUAGAGGUCGAGACCAACCCUCGCUUCAAUACCUUUACAGGGUGGGGAGGGUAGAUAUGGAUAUGAUGAUCGGUGCGCUAAUACCACGUGCAUCCCCUCUUCUGAGGAGCGUCAUACCGGGUAUUUUAUUGAUGUGAUCCAUAUUACAAACAAACCUAGGACACCCUCUUUAUUUUUAUCAGUACGCUUAGACUAUAACUCUUUUCAAAACCUUGCUUUUAUUAAUCGUUUUUCAAACACUUGUGUAUUCAAACUUAAAUCCUCUAUUACAUGUGCCUUUAUUUGUUUAUUUUCUAAUUGCACAAAUUCACAAAAACUGUCUAGCCGGGAACCACACUAGUGGAUCUUGAGGGGUGCCUAACACCUCCCCCCAGGAUAAUUUCAAGCCCUUACCCUAUCUCUAGUUAUCAAACAUUGUUGUAGUUGAACCUUAUAGGUGCCCUAACGCACCUUGAAAUUGUUAGGUGGCAACUCUUCAAAUACCAAAUUCCCAAAAGGAAAUGACUCAUCACACCCCAUGAAUGUCGAAACCCGGACUCCUCUCCGAUGGAAAGGGGAAAAAGGGGGCGCAACAGUGAUCUGAUGAAAACCAUGUGCGAAACAUUCACAAUCAAGCACAAAAAUUCCACAACCUAUAGACCUCAGAUGAACGGAGCCGUAGAAGCCGCCAACAAAAACAUCAAGAAGAUAUUAAGGAAUAUGGUAGAAAACCACAAGCAAUGGCACGAGAAACUACCCUUUUCUUUGUUGGGAUACCACACUAUAGUUCUCACAUCAAUCGGGGCAACUCCCUACAUGCUGGUUUAUGGUACCGAAGCUAUCAUCCCAGCCGAGGUAGAGAUCCCUUCUUUAAAGAUCAUAGAGGAAGCCGAACUCAAUGAUGCAGACUGGAUAAGAAGCCGCUAUAAGCAAUUGGACCUUAUAGAUGGAAAAAAAGAUGAACGCAGUAUGCCAAGGUCAGCUUUAUCAGAACAGAAUGACCAGAGCUUUCAACAAGAGGGUCAAAUCAAGAUAGUUUGCACCCGGACAACUGGUACUGAAGAAGAUCUUCGAACAUCAAGAUGAAGCCAAAGGAAAAUUCUCUCCUAACUGGCAAGUUCCUUAUAUGGUUCACAAGGUGCUAACAGGAGGAGCACUCAUACUUGCAGAAAUGGAUUGAGAAGUCUGGCCAAAAUCAACUAAUUUAGACGCAGUCAAGAGAUACUAUGUUUAGACAACUUACAUUUCUUCAUCUGACGUAAUUGAACUACGCUUGACCUGAUUCCCGUUUAAGAGGGGAUACGUAGACAACCGUGUGGGUUCGGUCAUAUCAUAAUAAAACUUUCAUUUCUCCCAAAAGCAGAAACUAGGGCAGAAUUUUGAGGAGGACCCUCAAAAUUACGGAGCAAGUCCAGCAGACGCCAGCAUAUGCCAGAGAGUCAGAAAUUGGUUAAGAAAUUGGGGAAGAAUUUUGAGAAGAGUUCUCAAAUUUCCGAAGAAGGUUCAACAAGUUUUGUUACUUGCAAACGGCUGAAGGAUCAUCUACCAAACUGGGGCAAAAUUCUGAGGAGAGCCCUCAAAAUUCUAACACAAGAAAACUGCGAUGUCUCUGAGAUGUGUUAUAGUCACUGGUUCCUCCAAAAUUAUUUGAUAAAUUCACCAUGUUUCCAAAAAAUAACUCUAUUUUUAUCAAUAAUUACAUAUUUUCGAAACUCUAUUUUCGUAACAGCCAGGUGUUACCCAGGGAAACUCAGACAAGGCCUCUAGGAUGGAGCAAAGCAAAGUCAGCAGACAAAGGCAUGAACCAACAUCCCCUUUACAAAAUUUAUAAUUUUUCUUUGAACGCAGGCACAUCUGACGUAGCAAUAGCAUUCACAAAUAUAUAUACACGAAGCAAAAUUACUAUCAAACGGGCCACCAUACACUGAACGUAUCUCCAGCUAAGAAACAUUCUACCCUCAUUUGCUAUUCGUUCUUUGCAUGGGACUAAGACCUAUCCCGAACCUUGCAUGAGGCUAAGACCUGCCUCCAUAUUUGCAUAAGGCUAAGCACUGCCUUCCAUAUGCAUGGGACUAAGCUCUGUCCCGCAUUUUGCAUGAGGCUAAGCCCUGCCUCCAUAUUUGCAUAAGGCUAAGCACUACCUUCCAUUUGCAUGGGACUAAUCCCUGUCCCGCAUAUUGCAUGAGGCUAAGCCCUACCUCCAUAUUUGCAUAAGCUAAGCACUGCCUUUCAUUUGCAUGGGACUAAGACCUGUCCCGCAUCUUGCAUGAGGCUAAGCUCUGCCUCCACAUUUGCAUAAGGCUAAUCUCUGCCUUCAUUUGCAUAAGGCUAAUCUCUGCCUUCAUUUGCAUAAGACUAAGCUCUGUCUCCAUACCUGCAUGAGUCUAAACUCUGCCUUCAAUUUACAUUCUUUCACCGAGAUGAAGCAUUGUCUCUCCGGCACUAUCUAUUUGCUCCUGUUUCGGGCUAAGCUCUUCCCUCAACCUCACAAGACUAAGACUUGUCUUGUUAAACAUCAUAUUAUUGCAUUUCUUGGGCUGAAAUAUUGCCAAUCUGUCCAAAGGUGUCAUAGUAUAAAGGCAUCAUCCUCAUAUCCGGAAAACACCAUGCUAAGGCCUGAGGAUCUCUCAAAUUUGCAUAUCAUUAUUCAAAGGCGUCAUUGUUCGGAGGCACCAUUUUUAUGGCCCGAGAACAUCAUUUCAUGGCCUGCGAAUCCCUCACUGAACAAUUCAGGACCCAGGAUAUCAUGGUCUAAGGACAUCAUCUGCACCGUCCUAAGACAACUUUUAUGGUCCGAAGGGAAUCUGCAUCAUGUUUAAAUUUUAGCACACAUACAUGUUCGUAGCAUCUAUUUAUCUGCAUGUGACCAGUAAGUAGCCGUUAUCCCAGCAGGAGCGACCUCGCUCCAGUUCCUACAACUAUCUCAAACUUGACCGCUCACCAUAACCAUUCUUUCACCCAGCCCGAAAUUUCGUGCUCGUUCUUAUAAUGACUUCAUCAGUACAUUCUACCGAUGCAUAUGGAACUACACACGGCCUGUAUUUGGUAAAACCAGGGAUAUGUUGGCAUCUUGAAGACUAGAGUCCGGCCUCUAUCUUUCAAAACAUUCUAUUCGGUCAAAAUUGACCAUCAUUUCUUUACCCGAAAACUCUUUCAUCAUUCACGGGUAAAGAGGGGCGGCUGUUGAUACCCAAUUUUUCCCUCAUAUAUUUUUAAAUAUAGAUAAAUACUUUCAAAAUAUUGUACAUGUAUUUGCAAACAUGAACAUGUAUUUUUAUAAUUUUUCUAUAAUUUUAAAGGCUUUAAAUCAUUUUAUUUCUGCAUUUUUAUUUAUACAAAUAUACGAUAAUUAUUGCUCAUAUUAUUUUUAUGAUGAUCUAAUUAUCUAACUUCAUCAUUUAUGCUCAUAUGAUAUUUAAAUAUUUUAAUUGCCUUUUUUACCAUCACAUUUACAUUUUUAGGCUAGAAUUGCAUUUUUUGGCAACAAUAGCCUAUAUAUAUGCACAAUUAUAUUAUCUAUACAAACAAUAACUUUUCAUACUUUUACAAUAUUAAGUAAGUAUUUUAAAUCAUUUUCAUGCACAAAUCACAUUUUUAUCAUUUAUAAAUUAUUUUAUAAAACUGUUUUAUUAAAUUAAUUGGGUAUUUAAAAUCUAGCCCCUAGAAAAUACUAAUUUUCGGACCCAAAAACUUAGCCCAAAUCCCUAACCCAAUUCAAUUAGGCCCAAAGGUAAUUUAACCCAACCCAAACCCCUCUAAUCUUUGCCGUUGAUCUCAGAGAUCAACGGCCCACAUUGGUUCUUACCAUUUUAACUCUAAACGACCCCCUAACCUAAAAACUUUCCCCACCAUACCCCACCGUCACAUGUUCCCUCCUCUCUCAAAUGCUCUCUACCUAAACCCUAAUGUUCAGACGCUGUCACCGGCUUAGCCCUCCAUUUUACGAUGUUUCUCCGUCGUCUCAGACCUAUAUUGGCCUCCUACUUGCUUUGGUAUCUCCAUCUCCUAGAUCCUUGAGGAGAUUCUCAAGGGACCAGGGCAAGUCUGCUUUAUACUUUUGGGUUUUCUUGCCGGUUUCAGGCUAUUUGGCUCGACCUUGAGUAAGAUUUUUCUCAUUUUCGUCUUAAAUCCAUGGUUUCCUAAGUUUAUGCUCGUCUCUGUUGCCUUUCUAAAAACCCUAAUUUUUAUCCUUUGACCUUCUCAGAUCUGUCCAUAUCAAAGAUGAAUUGAACCUAUUUCACAUUUUUUACGAAAGUCUUAUGGUUUUCAAUUGAUUCUCCGUUUUUUUUUUCCUAAAAAUAGGGUUUACUCAACUCACCUUCUCAAAGCUUUUCUGAUUUUCAAGUGCUUAAUCGUUGUUCUUAAGUGUUACUGAUUGAAUCAUGUUAAGAUUGUUUGGACCCUAGUCGAUUUAUGCUAAAGCCCCAAUUUUCUUAUACUUUUGCUUCGUUUCUGGGUUUUUCCAUGUCACUCGUUACAUUGUUUCAUUCUGUUCUUUGACUUUCAUGAUUUCUCCUUAGUCUAAUUCAUUAUCUUGUGACUUUUACCCUAGUUCAUCUAUACUAGGGUUUCUGAGUCGAUAUCUCGGCUAAUUUCUGUAUGUUUAUGAAAUUUUAUUUAGCCUACUUGUCUAUUUGUGGAAACUGAUAUUUAUCCCCUCUUUAAAUCAGUACUAUUUUGAAUUUUGAUUUACUGAUUUGCUCGGUUAAAUUUAUGUGCUGAUUCUUGAUUUAUUCCCUUGUUUACGACUUUAAUUAUUCGUCUUACCUUAUUUAAUUGCCUGUAAUGUUACUGAUUCUUCACGAAUAUUUCCUUAAUUAGACUCCUGUUUGUUUACCUCUUUACUUAGGUCUGAUUUGGUUUCUUUCCUUAAACGACUCUUGUCCUUUAACCGUUGAGUAGUUAUCCUCAAUUAAGGGAAGACUACAUUGAUUUGGCGUGUGAAUUGAUUAAGUGAUUUCCUUAAUUGCCGAGUGAUUGAUCUCCUUUACCGUAUUCUUUUUGCUCUUAACUACUACAUAUACUCUUUUCUAUUCUCACUUCUGGGACACGAACAUUAGUUCACCACUACACUUACACUUUAAAAGCUCUCUAUUCUUCUCUGCUACUUGUUAUAUUCAUUGGCCUAGCCGGCUGAAAGCCAAGGCUAACCAUUGCACAACCUUUGCUCUACAUUCUGUGUUCUUCUUCCUAGCUAACUGGUAUGUCCCUGAUUAAUUUUUGAAAUCUAAACCUUAUGUGCCCUAGUUCAUCAAUUGUGAAUUCCAUUCUUAUUCUUGUUUACUAAUUUGUUUGACAUGCCUAAUCAUGUCUUGUUCAAUAUGUGAUAAUUGCAUGUAUAUUGCUUUACAUAGCAUGUUUCAAUUUUGUUUUGAUCGAUAUGUAAUUGGCAUGUCUAAACUAUAUUGCAUGUUUACUGUUUCACCUAAUAUGUCUGAACCUUGUUCUGUUCAAUAUGUGAUUGUUGAUACCCAAUUUUUCCUCAUAUAUUUUUAAUAUAUAUGUAUAUACUUUCAAAAUAGCACAUAUGCAGUUAUGACCAUGCAUAAGCAUUUUUUAUAAUUUUUCUAUAAUUUUUAAUGCUCUAAAACAAUUUAUUUCUCCUCUUUAUUUAUAAAUUGUCCACUAAUUAUCAUUCAAAUUAUUUUUGUGAUGAUUUGGUCAUUUGAAUUCUUUAUUUAUGCCAUCAUAAUUGUUUAAAUAUUUUUAGUGCAUUUUUUAUUAUUGCAUUUAUAUUCUUGGCUAAAUUGCACAUCUUUGCAAUAACAACCCAUAUUAACGUAUAAUUCAAUUAUUGAUGCAUGAAAUGAUGUUUUAUAUUUUUAAAAUUUUAAAUAACUAUUUAAAAUCAUUUUAAUACAUGAAAUAAUUUUUGGAACUCAUUUACUAUUUUUAUAAAUUAUGUAACUAUUAAAAGUGGCUAUUUAAAAUCUGGCCUAUUUUAUUUCAAUUUAACCUAUUUUCAACCCAAUAACCAGCCCAAACCCAACUACCCGAUCCGGCCCCUAAACCCUUUUAAUCUCAGUCAUUGAUCAUAGAGAUCAACGACCACAAAAGACCCUUCCUAAAAUAAACCAAGCGACCCCCCUAAACCCUUUCAUUCUACACUAUCCGCCGCCCUGAAACCCUUCUCCUCUCUCAAACUCUCUGAAACCUAACCCUAACCUACCCACAUCGUCGGUCGUCUACUGCCUUUCAUGGUGUUCCUCACCACUCCCCAGGCGUCUAAUGGCCUCCCUCAUACUGGUACUGCCAUCUCCAGGGUCCUCAAGGGACCAGGGUCAGUGGAUUGCAUCUAUGGUCCCUUUCUCGCCUGUUUUAAGCCAUUUCAGUGUGAUUCCGAGUAAGAUCGUCCUAUAUCGACUAUGAUCUAUGGGUUUUUAAGCAUGUUUCUUCACCUCUGUGUUGUUUUCCUCGAAACCGUAAUCUCUUUCUUCUAAACCUCUUAGAUCUGUAUAGAUUUAAGACGAUUUGGACUUGUUUCAUAUGAGUUUUACAAUAACCUUGUGAUUCUUUACAAGAAUAGUAUGAUUUUCGAGUGAGUUUUCAUCUUUCUUUAAACUAGGGUUCCUGAAAUAUCUUUUUCCAAAAACAUUUGAUGAUUUGGGUGUUUAAUCUCCUGUUUCCUGUAUGUUUUAACCAAUUUUUUUAGGACUGCUCUGAUUUCGACUCUUUUACACUAAAAGCCCUAAUUUUUCGACAUUCUUUGUUUGGUCUCUGAGUACUUGUAUGCUGACUGUGUUCUUGCUUUGGUUCUUGUGAUUUUCUUUAGCCAUUUAGAUAUCUCGUGGCCUUCUUACCCUAAUAUGCCUUUACUGAGAUUCUUAAUUUAACUUUUCACUGAUUCUAUAUGUUUGUGUUCAUCCUGACUAUUCGUUUCUUACCUUAUCUGCUACACUUGCUGAAUCUUUCGUGAUUUUCCCUCUAACUGAGCCCUAUUAGUGUUCUAACCUAAUUUUUCGACUAAUUUCUAUGUUUCUAUUAAAUUUUACUUAGUUUAUUUUCUAUUUAUGGGAACUAAUAUAUACUCUUUCUAAAAAUCAGUAUUACUUUGAAAUUCUGGCUGAUUGAUUACUCCGUUAAAGAUUGGUAUGCAUAGACAUUAUUUGUUUCCUUGUUUAUAACUUUAAGUGGUCAUCUAUGCCUUAAUUGUUUGCCCGUAUAAUGUGGGAAUUCUAACUGAUUCUUUAUUUGGUAUGGUUUGGUCUUCUUUACCUUAAUUAAACCCCUAUUGUUACCAUUUGUCUAAUUGCCCCUAAUUAAAGGAGUCUAUUCUGAACUCCUUAUAUGAUUGGAUUCUGAUUUGCCUUAAUUGCUGAUUUUUGAUUCUUUUACCUUAUUAACUCUACCCUCGAACUGCUAUAUAAGCACUCUCCUAUUCUCACUUCAAAAACAGAACAUUAGUUCAUAAAAAGCACACUUACACUCUAAAAGUUCUCUUUCUGUUAUGCUAUUUGUGAUACUUACUGAUCUAACCGGCUGAAAGCCAAGGCUAGAUAUUGGAAAUUCAUUUGCUUUAUAGUUUGCACCCUUUUCUUCAACUGGUAUGUUUCUAGUUAAGUUUUGAAAUCCAAACCCUAUAUGUUUCAUUCCCGCACUAGUUCAUCAGUUAUGAGUUCAACUUGUAUUCUUGCCUAUUUCUCUGCUCAGCAUGUCUAAACUCUGCCGGUUCAAUGUAUUCUUUAUAUUCUGCACUCUUUCCUGCUUAGUUCUUUGCCUAGCAUGUCUAAAACUCUGUCCUGUUCAUUGUAUGCACUCUUUCCUGCUUACUUCUUUACCUAUCAUGUCUAAAUAUUAUUUUUAAUCAUGUUCAAGACUUGUCAACUAUGAUCUAUGUCUUAACUACUUACUGUCCAUGAUUAGCCUGGUGAGUCUCUAAGACCCCAAGUGUUUUUAUGCAGUUUGUUGACUAUAUGUUUCCUCUAUACUCUAUACAUGUACCCCAAUAUGACUCUUAUGUGCCCCAAUCCCUUUAUCCCCCUGUGAGAUCUGUUUGUUAAGUGUUUUCCGAAUCUGGAUGUUUUUAUGACCAAUUGAUUGACUGCUAUUUUGGUACUCUUCUCAAACUGUCUUUUACUGCCAAACUAUUUCCUGUUUCUAAAAAACCUUUUACUUCUAAAGUAAUCUCUGUACUAUUUUCAAAACCUUUUCAAAACUAUGUCAAGUACUCUCACUUCACUCUUAGAAUACUAGGUUCUGCCCUUCUGAUAUGUGUACUGCCUUGAGAUCCUUGAGAUCUCUAUGAACUCUGGAAUGUCAGAUCUAGCCUUUCCACACUGCACCUAAAUCAGUUAUUGUUUGAGAAAAGUUCUAGGUGUGAGCGCUACCCGGGAUCCUUGAGGUCUUUAGGGAAUUCUGACACACCUAGAUAUGAGUUUGGCUAUGGAACUUUGGGCAUUUAAGGCUAUUGGAGGCUGAGAAGUCAUUUGGGCCUACUGUAGGCUCCCUAUAGAUUAUCUCUUAUUUAUUUAUGUAUUUUUGUUUAAUUCAUUGGUCUGUAAUAAUUUUGUAAACAAAUAGUGUGGUAAUUAGUGAAAAGGGGAGGGUAGUUAUAUAUAUUGGGUAAAUUAGAUAGAUACCAUGCUUAUAGGGUCCAUGUUGAUUCAAAUGUGUUUGUUAUGUUUGUUUUACUUCCACACAAUUAGAAACGAUGUCUAUAGGAUCUAAAUAGCUUUAAUAAUAGAGAUCACGCCUAUAGGAAUUAAAAUCAGCUCUAAUAGAAAUCAUGCCUAUAGAUCUUAAAACCAGUUUAGCUAAAUAAAUCAGUUCAAAUUCAUUUUUUGAAUUGGCUUAAUUAAUUAAUUUAUCUAUUUCUUUAACAAGUUUUCAAACAAUGCCUUAAAACCAAUACUGCUAGAAAGCAUGCCUAUAGGAUCUUAAGUUGUCGUUUAAAAAUCAUUCUACUCUUUUAUUGCAUUCCCAAUCACUAUAGAUACCAUGCUUUUAGGAUGUCACUGUUGUGCAUUUAGGAAAGCCUCUAGGGCGAUUAAAAUCCUUCAACUACAAAAGUUGUGCUUUGUUAUUUAAGACUGUUCACAUUCAUAGGUCUAAAAUCAGUAGGCAAGCUAAAUAGGUCUUUGAUGCUUGAUCCUAAUUCAAUGAUGUAUAAUCCCUACUCACCUAGAUAUCAUGUUCUAGGAUUUUCUCUUAAAUACUUGACUGUAGUGGAAGAUGUGCACUUACUUUUUAUAUUUGUGCAGGUGACUGUGAGCAUGUAAUUUGUUCUGUUUAAAUGCAGUCCUAAUUGUUUUUGAUUGACGNCUAGACUUNUNNNNNNNNNNNNNNNNNNNNNNNNNNNNNNNNNNNNNNNNNNNNNNNNNNNNNNNNNNNNNNNNNNNNNNNNNNNNNNNNNNNNNNNNNNNNNNNNNNNNNNNNNNNNNNNNNNNNNNNNNNNNNNNNNNNNNNNNNNNNNNNNNNNNNNNNNNNNNNNNNNNNNNNNNNNNNNNNNNNNNNNNNNNNNNNNNNNNNNNNNNNNNNNNNNNNNNNNNNNNNNNNNNNNNNNNNNNNNNNNNNNNNNNNNNNNNNNNNNNNNNNNNNNNNNNNNNNNNNNNNNNNNNNNNNNNNNNNNNNNNNNNNNNNNNNNNNNNNNNNNNNNNNNNNNNNNNNNNNNNNNNNNNNNNNNNNNNNNNNNNNCGCCUAGACUUUUAUCCUUUAAAACCUUAGAAAGUUCUAGAACUAGCUAAACUAGAGGUCCUAAAUACCUCCAUGGCCACAAGGAAUGGACAGGUAGUGCACACAUAGGACAUCUAUCAAGGAUAUUAGAACGCUUUAGGCUAUGACCAAGGGGAGGGAAUUGGGUAGUAAGGAUAUGAUGACUACACGUUAAUGUCUCGUGUAGCCCCUCAUUGAGGAGUGAUUACCGGGCAUUGUGUGGGGUGAUCCUGUAGGCCAACCAACCUAGGACCCCUCUUUCCCAAUUCCUGAUGUUUAAACUUUUCUUUUCUUUAUAUAUGUGCAACUUGUUCGAACCUUUUCCCCUGUUCCAUUACUUGAGUCAUGUAUGUGCUUAGUAUGCCUUUAUUUGGAAGUAUGUGUUUAAACUAUUUAUUUUUUAAAAGGACUAAUUCACAUAAGCAUAAGUUCGUCCGGGACCCACCGUUGUGGACCGAGAAGGGUGCCUAACACCUUUCCCUCAAGGUUAUUUCGAACCCUUACCCUAAAUCUCUGGUAAUGUAAACUAGUCUAAGAGUUAAUCGCUCUAGGUGCCCUAAUGCACCAUAAUACGUUAGGUGGCGACUAUUCAAAAUACCCAAAUCCCAAAAGGAAAUGAGUUAUUACCCCCAUGAACGUCGAAACCCGGACUUUCUCCGUGGAGAAAAAAAGGGGGUACGCCAGCAUGGCGACUCUGCUGGGGAUAGUUUUAGGCUCUUACCAUAACAAACUUAUCUUUUGUGAAUUAGUCCAAGCAUGCUCUAUCCCACGUACCCUUGCCCCUUAUUUGAAUUUAACUAUCUAUUUUCAAGCAUUUUUAUUUCUUUACUUCUGAAACUGACUUGUCUCCUUGUUUUCUUUUUCCGUAACUGUCUUUCAAUUAUUUAAAUACUAUAUUUAUUUUUUCCUAUGUGCAAAUACUUGACUACAUGCUAUUUAUUGCUGCAUAAAUCAUACUCAAUAUCAUAUUCCACUCGUGCGUAUUAAAUCCUAUAGCAACGCUUGAUGAGUGGUUGCGCUCUUCCAAUUUAUUACCUUUAAAUUCAGAAAGGCUUAUUUGUAGUAAAACUAGUCGAUCAGUGGUGCAGUCGACGGUUCCGUGCCUUUCCCCCUCAAGUUGUCCAUUUGAGGGUACUAGUCUAGACCCUCAUAGUAACCUUACUCUGAUUGAAAUUGUGCAUGCAUCAUGGUCAAACCUAGUCGGAUCAAUAUGUUGUCCACAUAAUGGUCAUUUAAGACAAGCCUUAUCCAAAAGUACAUAGGGGUUUCUAUAAUCCCAAUGGACACUACCACGUUCUCCCUAUUAAUUUNNNNNNNNNNNNNNNNNNNNNNNNNNNNNNNNNNNNNNNNNNNNNNNNNNNNNNNNNNNNNNNNNNNNNNNNNNNNNNNNNNNNNNNNNNNNNNNNNNNNNNNNNNNNNNNNNNNNNNNNNNNNNNNNNNNNNNNNNNNNNNNNNNNNNNNNNNNNNNNNNNNNNNNNNNNNNNNNNNNNNNNNNNNNNNNNNNNNNNNNNNNNNNNNNNNNNNNNNNNNNNNNNNNNNNNNNNNNNNNNNNNNNNNNNNNNNNNNNNNNNNNNNNNNNNNNNNNNNNNNNNNNNNNNNNNNNNNNNNNNNNNNNNNNNNNNNNNNNNNNNNNNNNNNNNNNNNNNNNNNNNNNNNNNNNNNNNNNNNNNNNNNNNNNNNNNNNNNNNNNNNNNNNNNNNNNNNNNNNNNNNNNNNNNNNNNNNNNNNNNNNNNNNNNNNNNNNNNNNNNNNNNNNNNCGGUAUGGUUAGCAACAUUCCACCAUUGCUGCUAGAUUGGUGGGAGGACCUUUUCCUCAAGUGAUAAGAAACAUGUAAGAAAGUACCUGGGUAUCUUGCCUUCCCUGCUAGACAUUCAGCCAAACAACAGGUUGAUCGAGGAUACCACUUUAUUUUGGGACAGUGAAAGGGCUGUGUUCCAUUUCGGCGACAUAGAAAUGACUCCACUCCUAGAGGAAAUUGGGGGACUUACGGGAUUGACUUGGGAUAGCCCUGGGUUGUUGGUACCGAAGAAUCGUACUGGCAGAGGGUUCCUAAAGAUGAUGGGGUUGAAGAAAAAUGCUGACUUGGUAUGCCUAGAGAAGUCCUACAUACCCUUCGAGUACUUGUACGAGAGAUAUGUCCAUAAAAAGUCCUACCGUACCUUCCAUGACAAGCUUUCUAUCACUUCUCUGGGCCACAUCCAUCGUAGAGUGUUCGUGUUCAUUGUGUUUUUCUUGGGCCUGAUAGUGCUCCCAAUGAAAAGGGAAAGAAUACAUACUAGGUUGACCAUGGUCGCCAAGACUUUGAUGGAGGGAUCAAUGGGAAAUCAUACACUAUAGUCACCAUGAUCAUAGCCGAUAUCUACAGGGCUUUGGUGCGCUGUUAAAGAGAAGUCAAGCAUUUCGAGGGUUGUAACUUGUUGCUGCUGUUGUGGUUAUUAGAACAUCUUCAAAAAGGUCACUGUCGCCAAGAAUUUCUGCGAAGGGCUUGGAACGACCAUAUUACCUUCCAUCACCCCAAGAGGAUGACUUACAUUCCGGACAGGUUUGCUCAGCCGAAAAGUUCCAAGGAGUGGGUAGAGUUCUUCAACAAUCUGACUGAGGAACAGGUGCAAUGGAUUCUUGAAUGGUUCCCAACAGACGAAUUCAUCAUCAGAUCCAGGGACACUCCACACUUGGUAUUGAUUGGGUUGAGAGGGAUAAACCUUUAUGUCCCUAUCUGAGUCAUGAGGCAAGCAGGCAGGAAACAAGUUGUACCCAGGAUCACUAAAAUGAGCCAUUUUAGAGUAGACUUCCAGGAUGAUGAUGUCCCUUACAAGUGCCAAGCUUAGCAUAUGUGGCACUGCAAGAUCAUUGUGGAAAAGGACAUCACUGAUCCAGACAAGUAUCAUGCGGGGUGUGAACCCCUCUACCCAGCAUGAUUAGAGGACAACCUGAAGGGGAUGGUGAUACCAGGAACUGGUCGAGGGAAUAGGAUCAUAGACGAAGAAGCUGAGGCUCAAGUCAAAUAGAACAAGCUGUGUAAGAGGGUCCAUGACUCUAAGAAUGAGCACUGGGAAAUACACGAGAAAAACAUGAGAUUAAUCGAUGAGUGGAAAGAGAUAGCUAUAACGUCCAACAGAAAGUUGGAAUAUCUAGAGCGAGGAUUAGUGGAGUUGGAGGGUAAAGUCAUAAAGAGGAUUGAGGACUGCCAGAAUGCUAAAGGAAGUGAAGGAGGACAUCUAGUCAGAACCUAUUUGCUGCUGGGACUGCGCGAACUGGGGAACCUGUAUGAUGGAGUCAAGAAGAUCGAAUCAGGGGAAGGUCCUUCUGGGACAAAGUAGGCUAGAUUUAUUUGCUUUCCUAAAUGUUAUAAGGCCAAGUGCCAAUAGUGACUUUCUUUUCUAUUGUCUUAGUGUCGUUUUGGGAUUCGUCUAUUUUUACAUUAUUAAAUGAAGUAUUUACCGACGUCUAAAAGUUCGCCAAAUCUACUUGUCACUAGGCCUACAUCGGGCACAACGAGGCUCCCAAAUAAGGACACAAAUUUACAUUCCCGUAAUAUGUGUUUAAAUACUGGAAAUAUUUCAGAAUCCUCACUGACUUAUCUAUCUUUUUCUUUUUCUUUAUUCUUUAUUCCCAUCCCCUAAGGUUGGUUCGCUCAUACAGGCCUCAUCAGCAUGUCACACCAAAUCUAGAGGCCCUCCACCUCCUCCUCCUCCAAGCAAUACAAAAGGCAGAGGAAAAGCAAAAAUGGACGACUUAAGUGGUAUCCUAAAGGAGAAUAUUGAGAAUGUGGAAACUUCAGAUAGACGGAGUACUCCGGCACCAAAUGAUCUAGUCUUGAGACUGGAACAAAAGAUAUUUGAAUUACAAGGAGAACUUGAGCAGGUUUGCAACUUGGCAAACUUGUCACUCACCUUGAAUGUCCCUGACGUCAACCAACAAAACACAAGGAACCCAACACCUCCCUAAAUCACACAAAACCAACACCCACAAAAUCCUCCUGCACCGAAUCAAUACGCAACCCCACCCCAAAAUCUCAAUCCCUUACCAGUACUAACUCCGCCACAACAUCACCAUCAACCGAUUCAGUACCCACCAACCACCACUUACCACACUCCCCAAAACACACCACAACCCAUUCCCCAUCCUCAAAACUCAACCAAUGACCAUCAUUACACCCAAGUCCCCGGCACCUAUCAAAGCUACCCUAUAUGGGUAGAAACCGUACCUCACUCUAUCCAACCAAUCUCUUACACACCAGAAUCCUCCGAGAAGGACCUGCUCAUUAAGAACAUGGCUGAAGAACUCAAGAAGUUGACAAGUCGAGUUCAGGGUGUCGAAAGCGAAAAAGGAAUAGAAGGGUUGAACUAUAAAGACCUAUGCAUACAUCAAGACGUAGAACUGCCAGAGGGAUACAAACCUCCCAAGUUUGAGAUGUCUGACAGCAUAGGUGACCCUAGGGCCCAUAUGAGGACCUAUUGUCAAAAGCUUGUCGGGGUCGGGGAAGACGAAAAGAUCUGAAUGAAACUCUUUAUGAGAAGUCUUACUAGAGAUGCUUUGUCCUGGUACAUUAGCCAGGAUCCCAAGAAAUGGUCUAAUUGGGUGAAUAUGGUGUCGGAUUUCAUGGACCAGUUCAGGUACAAUAUAGAGAAUGCACUUGAUGUUUUCAACAAUAUAGAGAAUGCACUUGAUGUUUUCUACAUCUAGAAUCUUAAAAAGAAACCCACCGAAACCUUCCGCGAGUGUGCUACUCGUUGGAGGUCGGAAGCGGCCAAGGUCAGGCCAUCUUUGGACGAGGAACAGAUGAACAAGUUUGUCGUCAGAGCACAGGAUCCACAGUAUUAUGAAAUAUUGGUGGUCAUUGAAAACCAUAAGUUCUCUGGUAUCAUCAAGAUUGGGGAAAGAAUUGAGGAAGGCAUCAAAAGUGGGAUGGUAACGAAUUUUGAGGGAUUACAGGCCACAAACAAGGCGUUACAAUCAGGCGACAUAUCAAAGAAGAGAGACGUUGGGGCAGUAAUGGUAGCCCAAGGCCCAAAAUCUCCACUCACCUAUCAAACACCUCCACCUACAUAUCAAACACCUCUACCCACAAACCAAGCAUUAUCGCCUACAUAUCAGCCUUCAUCUCCCAGAUAUUCCCAACCAGCCACUGUCCAUCACACCUAUAACUCCCAACCAUCCCAUUUCCAAUCACCUCCAACUCGCCAACACUUUCCAAGACCACGACCAAACUUGGACCGCAAGCUACCCAGACAAUACACUGCCAUUGCUGAACCCAUCGACCAACUAUAUGAAAGGUUGAAAGCCGCUGGUGAUGUCACCCUCAUUCCUACUAUGGCAUUAGAGAAUCCAUCAUAUAGGUCAAUCCAAACAAAAAUUGUGUGUAUCACUCUGGUACGAAGGGGCACACCACUGAUGAGUGCCGAACAUUGAAGGAUAAGAUCCAGACGCUAAUUGACAACAAGGUCAUACAAGCAAAGGAAGCCGCAUCCAAUGUCCGCAACAACCCCCUCCCUGAUCAUAGAGGUGGUAGGGUACAUGUGAUAGAGACAAACGUAAAAUGGGACCCUGAGGGGUCGAUUGGGCUUAUUCAAGAAGGCGAUGACUUUAAAGUUUCAAUCACACUUGUCACACCUCCUUUUUUACCACCUGAGGGUAUAUAGGCAUUUAUCCAAUUAAAGGGACAUAAAUCGAUAUGGGAUUAUUUAAUUUAAUUCAAGCCGCCACUUGGAAUAAUUUAUUUGGUGUCCCAAGUCACCGAUUUAUUUUAAAAUCCCAAAUCGAAGAAAUUUCGACUUUACUUUAUAAGUCUGCGAAUCAGAAAUUCUAGAUAAGGAAUUCUAUUAAACCGGAAGAAGGUGUUAGGCAUUCCCGGGUUCCGUGGUUCUAGCAUGGUCGCUUAAACUAUUAAUAUUGGCCUAUUAUCUGAUUUACUACACGUUUUAAACCUAUAGUGCAUUUUUAACUUUUGACCGCUUUUAAUUAUUUAUGGAAUUAUUUUGGAACAAGUUACGACUGUCGUACACUUGCUUGUUUGGUACACAUUUCAAAUCGUGGCAUGGAAACCGUACCCACAAUUUACAACAUGUUUAAAUUAUUAACAUUAUUAGUUGUUGUGGCCGGGUCACAUAAAUGUACCCCCGGAUUUUAGUAAUUAAGCGUCAUGACUACGUCAUGGGCCGUACCCGUAGCUAUGACAAUUAUUUAAUUAACGUGCCUAAAGCAAGCUACGAAAGUUCAAGGCAUUUUCUAUACUAAAUUUAUUUAUGUGAGGGCCAUAGGUUAUGGAUUUUAUUUGCGUAUGGCACACCUCAAUUAAUUUUUAAAAGAAAAGAUUUGUAUUUUUCUCUAGGGCAAACUAAAGAUGCUCCUACUUUAAUCUAAUUUAAAAUUAGGUAUCGCAACCACGUCACGGAAACCGUACCCGUAGUUGUAAUAAUUUUAAUUGCGUGCUUAAAGCAAACUACGGUUGAAUUAUUUUUCUAGUCUUUGAGAUUAUAUGAGGCCAAGUAUGAGCAAUAUAAUAUACUUCAAACUAAAUUAAAACACCUUUCAUAAAAAUCUUGUAUACUAUACAAGAACAAUGACAACACAAUGUAUUCUCAUAAGUGGGGUCAGAGGGUAUUGAUGUAUGUAGCCUUACCCCUACUCUAGAAGGACAGAGAGACUGCUUCCGAUAGACCCUAGGCUAAAGAAACGAUGGAAGAAGCACUAAUAUCAAGUAAUAACCAUACAAGAUAUUUGAUAAUAACAGACUAAGGCUGAAAGGGAGGAAACACAAUAUAUUAGGGGCCAAAAUUAUAAUAAUGUUGUUUAUACGACUGAAUCCAAUAAGUCAUAGUCGUCCAUCAAGCAAAAUGAGAUCAAGUUACAUAUUUAACAAUGUAAUAACAUUCAAAAAAAAUGUUACACUCAAGAUGCAUUCAAUUUAACCACACUAAAAAAAUACAUUCUUGGAUAUACGAUACUACACGACUACAAACUUGAAGUACUAAGCAAAAAUCUUUAUAGCUACAAUUGCAAAUGUAGCUUUCCACAAUAAAAUCAAUAACAUGCUUAUUAAAAUGUGACAUUUUAUUCAACUUAAAACCAUUCAAAAAAAAAACAUCAACACAGUGGUUUAAUAUAUAAAAUGAAUAAGAUUUACAUCCUAUUCUUGAAUCAUUUUCAGAAUAUACCAAAUCCAUUUCAGGAUUAAAUUUAACAUAACAAGUGAGCUUAAAUAUGGAAUAUUGGUAAGAGCUUACCUCAAUAGAGAUAUACCAAAAGAUUUCUCACACCAGACCCAAAAGAAUAAUACGACAACUUCCGAAUAAAAGCUAACAAAAGAAAUAAGGAAAUCAACCACGGAUCUCAGCGAAAUUGCAACAAAGCAGCAACAAUCUCACAUGUCCAACAGCUUUAAAAAUCCAGCAAAGUAAAAAGCAGCUCUGAACAAUGGCUGGGAUCCUUUGGUCGUUUUUUUUCGAAUUUUUCAGAUCUGGGGUCCAAAUGUUUGAAUCAAAAAACUGUUUUCCAUCUCCGUGAGGGGAUGAUAGGGAGUACUUAUGUGUGCAUCUAUGUCAAUGAGUGAGAGAGGUGAGAAUUUCUAAGUGUAAGAGUUAGGUUAAGGUUUGUGGGUAAAGAAAGAAGAAGAAACAGGGGAAACAACGUUCUUCGUUUUAGAAGAGAAUGGGAUUUAAUUGUUAUUUUUUGGCUAGGUUAGGUCUAAGAUAGAGAAAGGGGUUUUAAAGGAGGGGUAGGGAUCAGGUUAGGUUGGGUUAUGG